AUGGACGGCGGCACCACGACAACACUCUACGCCCUGGCGCAGUGCACGCCGGACCUGUCCGCCGGGGACUGCCUGGCGUGCCUCCAGCGGCUCGUGGGCUCCAUCAACGCCACCAACUCCGUGCGCCUCGGUGGCCGGAUCUUCCGGCUCCGCUGCAACGUCAGGUUCGAGGCCUUCAUGUUCUUCGACGACAAGAACAUGCGGCGGAUUCCAUCUCCGUCAUCCACGGCUCAGCCACCGGCGCCUGCGCCGGCUCCGUCAAGCAAGAGACAUGGAGUCAAACCUUGGGUAAUCGCCUUAUCGGUGGCUGCUUCUGUGGCACUAGUUGCAAUCUGUUUCAUCGUCUACUGUCUUCUGCGGCUUAGAACAAAGAGCACAAAAGGUAAAGGGGACUUACAAGCAAAACGUACUCAUGAGUUCCAAGAAGGAGAUGAACAAGUUUGGGAAAUGGAAACAGAGCUAGCCGACUUUUCAGUAUUUGAUUUUAAUCAGAUAUUAGAGGCGACAGAUAACUUUUCCGAGGAAAACAAACUUGGCGAAGGUGGAUUUGGCCCUGUUUAUAAGGGUUUCUUUCCUGAUGGAGUGGAGAUAGCAGUUAAGAGACUUGAUGCGGAUUCAGGACAAGGUUUCAUAGAGUUCAAAAAUGAAGUUGAGCUCAUAGCCAAACUGCAACAUAGGAAUUUGGUUAGGCUCAUGGGAUGUUGCUCUCAAGGAGAGGAGAAAAUACUAGUCUACGAAUACUUGCCAAACAAAAGCUUGGAUUUCUUUAUCUUCGAUGAAGAUAGAAAAGCUCUAUUGGACUGGGACAAACGUAUUGCAAUAAUUGUAGGAACGAAGGACUUCUUUACCUACAUAAGCACUCUAGGUUGCGUGUUAUACAUCGUGAUCUUAAACCAAGCAACAUUCUUUUGGAUAGUGAAAUGA
rnacentral:rRNA from 1 species